rnacentral:rRNA from 1 species
GGAUGAACGCUGGCGGCGUGCCUAAUACAUGCAAGUCGAGCGAAUGGAUUAAGAGCUUGCUCUUAUGAAGUUAGCGGCGGACGGGUGAGUAACACGUGGGUAACCUGCCCAUAAGACUGGGAUAACUCCGGGAAACCGGGGCUAAUACCGGAUAACAUUUUGAACYGCAUGGUUCGAAAUUGAAAGGCGGCUUCGGCUGUCACUUAUGGAUGGACCCGCGUCGCAUUAGCUAGUUGGUGAGGUAACGGCUCACCAAGGCAACGAUGCGUAGCCGACCUGAGAGGGUGAUCGGCCACACUGGGACUGAGACACGGCCCAGACUCCUACGGGAGGCAGCAGUAGGGAAUCUUCCGCAAUGGACGAAAGUCUGACGGAGCAACGCCGCGUGAGUGAUGAAGGCUUUCGGGUCGUAAAACUCUGUUGUUAGGGAAGAACAAGUGCUAGUUGAAUAAGCUGGCACCUUGACGGUACCUAACCAGAAAGCCACGGCUAACUACGU